rnacentral:rRNA from 1 species
GACGAACGCUGGCGGCGUGCUUAACACAUGCAAGUCGAACGGAAAGGCCCUGCUUUUGUGGGGUGCUCGAGUGGCGAACGGGUGAGUAACACGUGAGUAACCUGCCCUUGACUUUGGGAUAACUUCAGGAAACUGGGGCUAAUACCGGAUAGGAGCUCCUGCUGCAUGGUGGGGGUUGGAAAGUUUCGGCGGUUGGGGCUGGACUCGCGGCUUAUCAGCUUGUUGGUGGGGUAGUGGCUUACAAAGGCUUUGACGGGUAGCCGGCCUGAGAGGGUGACCGGCCACAAUGGGACUGAGAGAGGGCCCAGACGCCUACGGGAGGCAGCAGUGGGGAAUAUUGCACAGUGGGCGGAAGCCUGAUGCAGCAACGCCGCGUGCGGGAUGACGGCCUUCGGGUUGUAAACCGCUUUCGCCUGUGACGAAGCGUGAGUGACGGUAAUGGGUAAAGAAGCACCGGCUAACUACGUG